rnacentral:rRNA from 1 species
UAAUACGUAGGAGGCAAGCGUUAUCCGGAUUUACUGGGCGUAAAGAGGGCGUAGGCGGCUUUUCAAGUCGGAUGUAAAAUCUCCCGGCUUAACUGGGAGGGAUCAUCCGAUACUGUUAGGCUAGAGGACAGCAGAGGGAGGUGGAAUUCCCGGUGUAGUGGUGAAAUGCAUAGAUAUCGGGAGGAACACCAGUGGCGAAGGCGGCCUCCUGGGCUGUUUCUGACGCUGAGGCCCGAAAGCGUGGGGAGCGAACAGAAUUAGAUACUCUGGUAGUCCACGCCGUAAACGAUGGACACUAGGUAUGGGGAGUAUCGACCCUCUCCGUGCCGAAGCUAACGCAUUAAGUGUCCCGCCUGGGGAGUACGGUCGCAAGGCUG